rnacentral:rRNA from 1 species
GUGAACGCUGGCGGUAGGCCUAACACAUGCCAGUCGAACGGCAGCACAGUAAGAGCUUGCUCUUACGGGUGGCGAGUGGCGGACGGGUGAGGAAUACAUCGGAAUCUACUUUUUCGUGGGGGAUAAUGUAGGGAAACUUACGCUAAUACCGCAUACGACCUACGGGUGAAAGCAGGGGAUCUUCGGACCUUGCGCGAUUGAAUGAGCCGAUGUCGGAUUAGCUAGUUGGCGGGGUAAAGGCCCACCAAGGCGACGAUCCGUAGCUGGUCUGAGAGGAUGAUCAGCCACACUGGAACUGAGACACGGUCCAGACUCCUACGGGAGGCGGCAGUGGGGAAUAUUGGACAAUGGGCGCAAGCCUGAUCCAGCCAUACCGCGUGGGUGAAGAAGGCCUUCGGGUUGUAAAGCCCUUUUGUUGGGAAAGAAAAGCAGCAGGUUAAUACCCCGCUGUUCUGACGGUACCCAAAGAAUAAGCACCGGCUAACUUCGUG